rnacentral:rRNA from 1 species
UUGCUUCUUGCUGACGAGCGGCGGACGGGUGAGUAAUACUUAGGAAUCUACCUAGUAGUGGGGGAUAGCUCGGGGAAACUCGAAUUAAUACCGCAUACGACCUACGGGAGAAAGGGGGCAGUUUACUGCUCUCGCUAUUAGAUGAGCCUAAGUCGGAUUAGCUAGUUGGUGGGGUAAAGGCCUACCAAGGCGACGAUCUGUAGCUGGUCUGAGAGGAUGAUCAGCCACACCGGGACUGAGACACGGCCCGGACUCCUACGGGAGGCAGCAGUGGGGAAUAUUGGACAAUGGGGGCAACCCUGAUCCAGCCAUGCCGCGUGGUGUGAAAGAAAGGCUUUUUUGGGUUGUAAAAGCACUUUUAAGCCAGUGAAGGAAGACUCCCAUGGUUUAAUACCCCAUGGGACGAUGACAUUUAGCUGCAAGAAUAAGCACCGGGCUAACUCUGUGCCCAGCAGCCGCGGUAAUACAGAGGGUGCAAGCGUUAAUCGGAAUUACUGGGCGUAAAGCGAGCGUAGGUGGCUUAAUAAGUCAGAUGUGAAAGCCCCGGGCUUAACCUGGGAACGGCAUCUGAUACUGUUAGGCUAGAGUAGGUGAGAGGAAGGUAGAAUUCCAGGUGUAGCGGUGAAAUGCGUAGAGAUCUGGAGGAAUACCGAUGGCGAAGGCAGCCUUCUGGCAUCAUACUGACACUGAGGUUCGAAAGCGUGGGUAGCAAACAGGAUUAGAUACCCUGGGUAGUCCACCGCCGUAAACCGAUGUCUACUAGUCCGUUGGGGGAACUUUGAUUCCCUUAAGUGACCGCAGCUAACGCCAAUAAGUUAGACCCGCCUGGGGGAGUACCGGCCCGCAAGGGUUAAAAACUCCAAAUGAAUUGACGGGGGCCCGCACAAGCGGUGGAGCAUGUGGUUUAAUUCGAUGCAACGCGAAGAACCUUACCUGGUCUUGACAUAUCUAGAAUCCUGCAGAGAUGCGGGAGUGCCUUCGGGAAUUAGAAUACAGGUGCUGCAUGGCUGUCGUCAGCUCGUGUCGUGAGAUGUUGGGUUAAGUCCCGCAACGAGCGCAACCCUUGUCCUUAGUUACCAGCGGUUUGGCCGGGAACUCUAAGGAUACUGCCAGUGACAAACUGGAGGAAGGCGGGGACGACGUCAAGUCAUCAUGGCCCUUACGACCAGGGCUACACACGUGCUACAAUGGUAGGUACAGAGGGCAGCUACACAGCGAUGUGAUGCGAAUCUCAAAAAGCCUAUCGUAGUCCAGAUUGGAGUCUGCAACUCGACUCCAUGAAGUAGGAAUCGCUAGUAAUCGCGGAUCAGAAUGCCGCGGUGAAUACGUUCCCGGGCCUUGUACACACCGCCCGUCACACCAUGG